UCGCGACAGUUGCUCACGUCCUACGGUGUGGACGUCUAUUGAUAAGCGUCCCUUGACAUUGUAUAUAUAACAGCAGUCUCAUCAAUAAAGAUUAACGAUUCUCAUUAUCUCUCGUUUUCAUCUCCGAACACGUUAUCAGCACCUUUGUCUCGAUUGAGAGCAUUAGGCCAAGAGAAACAGAGAGAAGAAUGGCUGCACGACGCCCCGCGCCCUCGCCUAUGGCCGUCUCCAACCCCUUGCGGCCAGCGAUGUGGUUGUCGACGCGGACACUGCUAGGCCGUCGCGCCUGCCGUCCCCGACGCCCGCUACUCCUCUGCAUGCACUAGCGGUGCCCCGAGGUGCCUGACCGCGCUGCCUCCAUCGCGGGGCGCAAUGUAGCGGCGGCACCACGCCCGUGGUCGCCCGGCCUGGCACAGCGCUCGGCCUCCGCUCCGUCACCCGCGCGCCUGCUCGACGUCGCCGCCUGGCUCGUGCCGGCGCCUCGAUCGCGCUCACGCGCAUCAGUGCCUGGCCCGCGCGCCCGCCUGCGCCGUGGCCUUCAGCCUCAUCACGAAGCACUACAGGCGGUGGAUCCCUCGGCUACCAUCGGCGAGGCGCCUCAUUGGCGUCCAAGGGCCGGACCACCGCAUUCGGCCGUGCCCCGCGUGCCGCCCGCGCCGACUGGCCUCUGUGCCGUUCCCGCAGCCUCCACGCCCACCCAGCAUCCGGCCAUGCGCCGCACCAGCGGCCUCCACGCCGCCCGGCCUCCGCGUCGUGCCCCGCGCCUAUACGCUCCCGGUUGUGCGCGUGGCCGCAUGGCCGCGACCGGCGACGUGAUCGUGCGGUGGCCGGCCUGAGCAAACCAUCGAUCCAAUUGGUAACCGUCCAGGAACGAGAUAGAAUCUUAUCCUUUGCCAUUUUGCACUAAGAUCCUUCUAUACGGAGGAAAUAGCAAAAUAGGCUGAAACAGGUGUUAAACUGGUUCUAAUAACAAUACUAUCUACUACAGUACUAUUUAUUUGUUUUAGACCCCGUUGUUUCCAACAUUUUUCUGUUGAGUAUACUGCUCCAGAAAUUUAAGAUAUAAAUAAUUUCAUGCUCACAUAUGUCGAGGUUAUUUAUAUCUAUUAUUUGCAGUAGAGAUUUUUUUCAAUCUUUUGCAAAGAUAAAUUAAGUACUUCUAUAGUACUAUUAUUCCGUUGAAUAUGAGAUAUUCCGGAAUAUUUCUAUGAUGCAUCUAAUUUCAUGUUAAACACAUGUUGAGAUUAUUUAUGUCUAUUAUUUGCAAUUGUGAUCUUUAAUAUUUUGCAAAGAUAAAUCCGGUACCUCUAAAGUACUUAUUUGCGAUUGAGAAUUUUCUUCUCUCGCAAAACAAUCUCACUGCAAUUGAGAUUAAUUUUCUCUCACAAAAUAGUAAUUCACCUUGCUGAAUUAUGUUGAAACUCGAUACAAGAUCGUCUCGUUUAAUUUGAGGUCGAUACAAUUUAAGUUUUUCACUUGAGCAUCAAGUUUACAACAUCAUUACUAUUCAUUACAAUAGUAGUGUAUUUCUGUUGAGUGUCGAGUUGUAUUCCAGACCUAAAGUUGAUGUAAUAUAUUUCCUCGUUUAUCACGUGUUGAGAUUAAUUACAUCCAUUUGCAAUAGAGAUUUUGAAUAUCUUGCAAAUAUAAAUUCAGUACCUCUGCAGUACUCUUUCUCCGUUGAGUACUAUGUAUUCCGGAAUGUAUGUAUCUCCAUUUUUGCUACAUAUCGAGAUUAAUAUAGCUAUUUGCAAUUGAGAUUUUCAAUUUCUUGCAAAUAUUGAUGCAAAAUUUAAAGUGAUUUCUUCAAAUUGAUGCUUGGGAUCACAAGGUAGUGUGUAGAUCUACUGCUUGUAGAUUACCACCAUUACUGUUAAAGCCUAAAUUUUGUCAUUUUAACAUUACGAUUGCUUUACAAUGUGCUUUCCCACACAUUUUUGUAAGUCAUGACAUAAGGCAUUACAAGUGAGUAUCUACUGACUUCAUCAGAUUAUACUCCCUAGUUGUGAGAGAUCUACUCCAUUUUGGAGAUUAUCUUCAAGGUGUCAUAUUUAGCAAUUUGAGAUUCACACUACUGGUUUCAAGAUAACUUCUUGAAAUACCCAUUGAUUUUGCUAAGUUCAUUACAACAUCAACCAUGAUGGUCUUUAAUUUACCGGUUGUAAAUUAAUUAUCUCUGGUUUACCCAUAGAGGUAACAUAUGGCUAUAUAAUUUGAGGCAUUCACCCUCAAUGGCCACAUUGCCCUAUCUGGGCCGUAGACAUCAUGAUCGCUCUUGUGUCUCGUGGGACAAUGUCUGCAAUCCUAGAUUCACCUCUGGUCAGGAUCACAUUGCUAACAGAAAAAUGUUGUCUUAUAUAUCAUAAGGCAUUAGAUUCAUAUCUCAGUAUCUGGCUAUUCUGUAUCAGCAAUUUCUGGGGUACUAUGACCUCAAGGGCAAAGGUUUGAAGCUCACUUCGACUUUCAACCCGACGUCACCAGGUGUCACG
rnacentral:lncRNA from 1 species